UCCUCGGUAGCUUAGUUGAUAGAGCAACAGGGCGUGAACCUGAGAGACCUGGGUUCGUAUCCCAGUCGAGGUUGAG